UAUAAACAAAGUGUUCGACUCUCAUGAAGCUUCACGUGUAUUAUGUCAUCGGCAGGGUUUAGCCAGUGCUGAUAAACGACGACGGAUAUACCCGUUGUCUAUGGAUGAAUGACUCCAAAAGCAGAGGAAGAUGCAGCAAUCUACCAUUAAAAAUUCUUCAUUCCGGAGGUCAUCACAAGAAGCUAGAUUUGCAGGGGUUUAGCAAACGGCAUUCCUCAGAGAAUAGGGUUUAUGCAUUCGAUUUUUUAAGUUGCCAAAUUCCAGUGCAAUUUUAGGGUUAAGCAGGUCCCUCAGUCAUAGAUGGGUUCCCAGAGAUUGAAAAAAAAAACACUUAUUUGGAGACCUGGCCUGUUUAUCUACUCACCCUUCUUCACCUAACGAGAAUUUCAGGAGUUCUUCAUGAAGGUUUCUACAUCUCUUGGAGGAAGCGAGGCUUGUGAGCUGAUCUAACCGAUCAAGCAAGAAGUUGAUGUUCAUUCCCAGUGUUUGGAAGGCUUUCAAAGUCCUCUUCCAGCCAGCUUACAAUUAAGGCCACCAAGAAGCUGUUCAUGGAGAAAUGAUCUUUGGCUGCAGCAAAGAUCAUAAUACUUGGAUUGAAGGUGCCUGGAUAGCUCAGGGUUUAUAACUAAACCAUUAAUUAUAAUGUCAAAAU